ensembl:lncRNA
CCAGAGGCACCCAGCUCAGCCACUCCCUUUUCCUAAGACAUGGUGUGACACCAUGAAUGGUUGUUGACCUCAUGGCUAAGCUAAGACUUCCAAAACUAUGCUGGGGAAAAAAAAAAAAGUGGCGAGAGUGGACAUCCUUGUCUUGUUCCGGAUUUAGAGUGACUGCUUUCAGCUUUUUAGCUUUUUCAGGUAUGAUGUUAGCUGUGGAUUUGCCAUAUAUGGCCUUUCUUGUCAUGAGGUAUGUUUUCCCUCUGUGUCCACUUUCUGGAGAGUUUUUAUCAUAAGUGGGGCCAACACAAUUUGGAAGUGCACAUGCUGCUGAGGAUCAAGGAUGCUGUGUUGUAACUGCUUUAAAGUGUACCCAGAGUUUGUUUUAAUCAGGUGUGCUGCAGUGGGAAACACAGAGACGACUGCCUCUGAAAGCAGAGUUUGUUACCCAGUGUUCCCAAGAGGAAGGGGUACCCCGCACCAUGAAGAGCCACAUGGAGAAGCACCUGGGUGGUCAGGAGGCAGUAGGAAUGAGGGAGAGCAUGGCAGAGCCUUUGUUAUUAAAGUUGGGGGGGGUGGUGGUUGUGUAGAGGUGUCCCUUGUCAGGGAGCAAAACACAAAUGUUGGUGUUUGUGGUUGAAGGAUCUGUCACGUUAGUUCUGUGUGCUUGUGAAACCCAGGGAUAAUAUGGACAUAAACAACUUUGCCUGUCAGUUUGGCCCAUGAUUUCAAGACACUGAAUUGUCAAUUACAGAAUGUCAACAAUGAUGAUUACAGCAGCCCACGCUGACUUCUCUCCGUAAUUGCUCUUUCCUUUAGUUUUCAGUGUCACCUUCCUUUCUACCACUGUGUCUCUUCCUCUUUUUGAACUUUCUGCUGGGCCCUCGGUUUUAUUUAGAUCUCCCAUUCUUUGGCCCAUUUUUGUUUAUCUUUCUCCUACUGUUUGACCCUGUUUCUAUUAUACCCAAUGAAAGGUUUUCUCAGUUUUCUACUUCCUUCUAUCUAUGAGGGCUGUUCCUUUUCACAGUCAAGACUAGAAACUUGGAAAACAGAAGGAAGCCGAGGCUGCGUUGCCAUGUCAACCGAAGGCAGAGCUGACUUUUCAGCAUCGCACAGUCAUCUCUCUGCCUUAUGGACUAGCGGGGUGCUGGAAAAUGGGUUUUGCCCACCCAAAAGGCUUCUGGCAAUUAUUGAGGAUGCCUAAGCUUUGUCUCUGGCCCAUCCUGUCCUUUGGCCUCAGUGAACUGCCGAGUGAGAUCUGGUGACAUUGAUCUUGUUUGGGGGACAGAACCCAA